GAAUAUUUCAAGGUAUUUAAGAUGUUAUGUUCGUGAAAUGGAAUUAAAUCGGGUUUCUGAGAAGAAAAUGGUUGCACUAUUUGGACUUGCCACGAUACCGAAGAUAAGGGACCACAUUACAUCGAUUACGGAUCGUUGUGGGAAUUCAUGGGAGGAUUUUUCACAUGCAUUGAAAGACGAAUAUUUCUUGGAAGAUGCUGAUCGUGUUACUAAGAAGCUGUUUCUGGGAUGGAUUGAACGGCCCAAUAAGAAUUUGCAAGCAACAGAGCUACUAAGGGAAUUUGAGAGGCAGUACUCUCAAUUAUCGAAGGUAGAAAAAUUGACAUUGGAAACGAACAAAGUUGAUCUAUUUCUUCAAGCUGCUGAUGGAGAAUUGCAAGAGAAAUUAGAACCCCUUCUUGAAGACAAAGAAGAAGAUGAAGGAUUGACAACGAAGUGGAAGAACGUUGAAGAUGCGGUGGGGUUGCUUACAAAAAAAGAAAGGAGGAAGGAUAGGAGUAAUAUUCCGAAACAAGUACAAGCACCCAAAGCUCUAGUACGUACUACACCACCGACAAUGCCUACAGUUCAACCUUCGACAUCCUUGUCAAAGAAAACAGAUAUGGGUAUGGAAGAAAUUAUACGAGGAAUGCGAGAUCUUCAAAUCAAAUUGGCAAGACUUGAAGAGAAUACUUCUAUAAACAAUUCGAAGAAUGUUUCAAAACAAGGAUAUGUACAAAGAUGCAUUUGGUGUGAUGAUGCUUCACACACUAGAAAAGAUUGCAAUGAAUUUAAUAAUAUGAUACGGCAGGGAAUUAUUUGCUGGAAAGAUGGGAAGAUAGCAUUGAAAGAUAGGGAGGAUCUUCUUCAAACCAAUUUGGCAAGGGAGGAAUGAGAGCAUUGGUUCAAGAUUACUUAAAAGAGCAUGAAACAGUAGUACGAGAAAGUGCAAGUUAUGGUGCUAGAGUAGAUGAUGAAAUUGGUGGAAGUACGGAAACUAGUGAGUUUUGGGCUUCUGCCGUUUCUACAAUGCAAGAAGGGAAAUUACCUCGAGAAGCGUUAUUGAGAACUGCAGCUACAAUAUGAGGAAGAACAGGUUGGGAGGAUCCUGUUGAGUCUCUUUCAGUUCAUGCAUAUAUUGCUAAGAGCCAACAUGCAGCUUUGAUGGAAGAAAAAAGACGAGGAAAUUUUGAUGAUACUAGAGAAGGAAAUUCUUUUAAGAGGCAAACUCGAGGAGACAAGGCUUGGGAGGCAGCUUCACAAGAAUUGCCUGUAAAGGAUACCUCAGCAUCAUUGGGAGAAAAAACAACAGAGUCAAAAGAUAAUGGUAAAUCAAUUGCUUAUAAGCUACUUUCUGACAUUGAAGCGGCAACAAAUUUGAAAGGGGUAUUGGAAGAACGUAUAUUAAACGCUAAGGUGGAAUUCACAUUGAAAGAAGUCUUGGGAAUUGCAAAGAAGGAGUUUCAUGAAGUUAUCAUUGACAGCAUUAAGCGAAAGAGGCAAUUAAUGAGCGAAACUGGAAUGAGUCAUGCUAUUGAUGCAAGAAUAUGUAGAGAUGAAGAAGAGGUUGAUAUUGGUUACAAGCAACCAACAAAUGAAAAGAAUGGGUAUAAUCAGCGAGUACAUUUCGAAGAUUCUAGUGACAAGGAAAUGGAAACUUUGAGCCAUUAUACUCGAAAGCAUUGGGCAAGGGCAACUACUGAGGUAUUGGUGAAGGUAGGAGAUAUAGAAGAACCAAUAGUUGCUUUGGUGGACCAUGGUUCUGAAAUAAAUCUCAUGUCUAAAGAUCUUUAUAAGAAGCAAAAAUGGCCAAUUGAUAUGGAACAUGGAUGGGCAAUACGAGCAGCUAAUAACACACGAGGCGAAUUAUAUGGAGCUUGUCUAGAUGUCAAAAUUCGGAUUGGGGAUGUUGCGACGGAGCAACAUUUCUUCGUUCAAGAUACAACGUCUUAUCCGUUGAUUUUAGGACAACCUUAUAUCACGGCAACACGGAUGGAAACAAAGGUACUUGACGAUGGUUCUGCUUAUGCAAGGGUACGGAGCGAAGAUGGGAGGAAAGCUGUACAAUUUCUAACAGUACCUCCUAACCAUGAACGGAAUCGAGAUAGGUUGAGGGAGAAACCAUUGCCAAAGAUUGUUGAAGGAUUUAAGGAUUUUGGGGAGGUACCACUGUAAAGCGAGAUUAUGGAGGUACAAAAGAGGAGGUAUUCUCGCGAGAUGAAGGUACCUUUGAUGCGAAUUUUAUUGGUAUAUUGGAGAAUGGAAAUAUUAUGUAUAAGAAAGUUGAUGAUUUUAAAAGAAAAGAAAGAAAAAGAUUAUAUGAUAUUGAAGGACAGUUACGCAAGAUAGGUACAUUGCAAGAUGAUGAGAGGAUUUUGGGUGUUUAUGAAGAAAAUGGGCUGGAAGAUUCAUUGGAAUUGAUUACAUCUAUUGGGUUAGGGGAUAAUGAUAAGAUUGUUGAGAUUCAUUCGAGAGAGGUUUAUACCUUGCUUGAAUCUUUUCAAGCACCAGAAGUCACAGUAGAGACGAGAUAUAAAACGACAGAUAAGAAGGUAAAGCCUGUUGCCGGACCAUUACCAGAGGAUUCUAAAGAACAAAUGGGAGAAGCAUCAAAAGAAGCAAGUUUAAGAGAUCCAAUGAGUAUUGGACAUCAGUUUACUGAAGAGACUUUUGAAGAAUUGAAGAUCGGUUCUGAUGGUUCUGUAUUGCCGGAGGAAAUUACUUGCUUCAAAAAGAUGUUGGCUAAACAAGGUAGAUCGUUUGCCUUCGAAUCUCAUGAAAUUAGGUGUGUGGAUCCAAAUAUUAUAACACCUAUGGUUAUCUUCACUGUACCGCAUGUACCUUGGAAUCUAAGACCGAUUCCAGUACCGAGGGCACAUUUACCUAAAUUGGUGGAACUAUUGAAAGAAAAGAUAAAGAUGAAAAUAUUAGAACCUUCAUUUGCGUCGUAUUCUAGUCGAUGGUUUACGGUACCUAAGAAGAAUGGGUCACUGCGGUUUAUUCAAGAUAUGCAGCCGGUGAAUGCAGUAACUGUCAGGAAUGCAGGAAUUGGACCUAUUGUGGAUGAAUUUGCUGAGGCAUUUGCUGGAAGGGCGAUCUAUUCAAUGGGUGAUUUGUAUUCAGGUUAUGAUCAAUUUCAACUUGCCGAAGGAAGUAGAGAUAUGACAACGAUGAGGACACCGUUUGGAUUGGUUAGAAUGUGCACUCUUCCUCAAGGUGCGACCAACUCAGUUGCGCAUAUGAUGAAUGGGAUGAAUAAGGUAUUGAGAGAUUUUAUCCCGGAAAAGACUAUGCCUUUUCUGAAUGAUGUUCCUAUAAAGGGGUGCAGAGAAGGAGACAAGGAUGAAACUUUAGAUACGAGGGGGUGUCGCAGAUAUGUUGUUGAUCAUAUACAAGAUUGUGAAAAGAUUUUAACUCGGCUUGGAGAAGUUCAUCUUACAUUAUCGGAUAUGAAGUCCGUAUUUGGAGUGCGAGAGGUUGUAAUUGUUGGACAUUUAUGCGGAUAUUACGGAAGAAAACCAGAUCCGACUAAAGUUGAUGCAAUUGGAAGGAUGAAAGAGGAUUGUAGUUCUUUAACAGAGGUUCGCAGGUUUUUGGGUGCAUGUGUAUUUUAUCGAAUCUGGAUCCCUCAUUUUGCUCACAUAGCGGAUCCAUUAUAUGAACUGUUACGCAAGGGUUACCGAUUUGAAUGGAAAGAAAGGCAUAUUCAGGCAAUGCAAAGAUUGAAGAAAUUAUUGAUGUCACCUCUAAUAUUGAGGAAGGUUGAUUAUAAGUGCAAUAGACCAGUGAUUCUUACUGUAGACGCUAGUCCAAUUGCCGUUGGAUGGGCGGUGGGUCAAGAUGAUUCGAAUGGGAGUAGAUUUGCAGUUCGAUUUGGGGCUAAAGUUUUAAGUAUUCGUCAGCGUGCAUAUUCGCAAGUCAAAAGAGAACUUUGGGGAGUCGUUUCGGCUAUGAAAGCUGAAAAGGACUAUUUGAUUGGGACAGUAGUAGUAAUUGAAACAGAUUGCUUGCCAUUGCUUGGAAUGAUUAUUAACUGUUCAACGCCAGAUAUUGCAAUGUUGAGAUGGAUUGCUUAUAUUAAGUCACUAAAUCCAGAAUUUAAGCAUAUCACUGGAAAGGACAAUUUAGUAGCAGACAUGCUAUCUCGAGCAAGAUACGAGAGGGAGGACGAAAUGGUUGAAGACAUUGAUGAUGUCGGAUUGAAAUUCUAUUCAAUAUCAAAUCUCAACAGAGAAGACAAGCUAUUUCUUGAAGAAGCUUAUGAAGGAGAAUUAUUGGAUAUUGGUCAUUAUUUGAAUACCUUGUCUAAGCAGGGGAAUUGGUCUACAGAAAAAUUCAAACAAAUAAGAAAAAAAGCAUAUGGAUUUUUACUUCGAGAUGGAUUCUUAUGGAAGAGACCGAAGAAAGGAAUUGGGAUGCCACAACGAGUGAUAGGCAAAAGGGAAGAAAAACUAAAAUUAUUAAAGGAGUUUCAUGAUAGUUUAUGGGCAGGGCAUAGAGAAAUCUGGGCUACUUUUGCUAAACUCAAGGAACGAUAUUGGUGGAAAAAUAUGUAUCGAGAUGUGCUCUCAUUUGUAGAGUCAUGUGAAAUCUGUCAAUCGUAUUCUAAUAUCCGACAUCGAGAUGGUCUUCAUCCUACGUAUCCUCUGGCUAUUCAUUUUAAAUGGGUUGUUGAUUUGGUUAUUAUGCCAGUUGGGUUAUGGCAGAUGAGAUAUUUGGUUUUAGCUUGUGAAGAUUUAUCAAAUCAAGUAGAAGGAAGAGCAUUGAGGACAAAAUCUACAGAGGGGAUUUGUAGGUUUUUGCUUGAAGAUGUCAUUUGCCGUUACGGGUGUGUAGGAAAAAUCACUGCAGAUCGUGGAGAAUUAAAUGCACAAGAAGCUCGUAAGUUCUUUGAAAGAUGUGGAGUUAAUCUAUCACUGACUACUGCUUAUAAUCCGGAAGGGAAUACGAAAAGCGAACGCGGUCACCCGCCGAUUGUGAAAGCAUUGGUUAAAGCUUGUAAUGGGAAGAUUAAAGAGUGGCCACGGCUUUUGUCAUUUGCAUUAUGGACUGAUCGAACAACACAUAGUUCGGUGACAGGAUAUAUGCCAGUAGAACUUAUGACAGGUCAAAAACCAAUUAUGCCGAUUGAAGAAAAGGUACUUACUUGGAGUAUGCUACCAUGGGAAGAUGGAUUGACAAGAGAAGAACUUCUGGCUAUUAGGAUUCGACAAUUGGAGCAAAGAACGGAAGAUGUGCAGAUAGCAUUGGAAAGGUUAAAAAGAGCAAGGUUACAAAACAAGGCGCGAUUCGAUAAGCAACAUCGAUUGAGACCAAAAGCAAUCGAUGAAGGUGACUGGGUACUUGUUUAUGACAAUGGUCUGGAUAAUCAACAUAGUACUUUGCGGAAAUUUUCAAAACGUUGGUUUGGACCAUAUGUUGUAACAACUGUUCAUGAUAAUGCAACUUACUCAUUACGGGAGUUAGAUGGUACAAAAUUGAAAAUACCAAUUGCAGGGAAGAGAGUAAAAAUAUUUAAACGAAGACACGCAGAGAUGAAUAUGGAAGACCUUAAUGGAGGUACAGAGAUUCCGCAGCAAGAAGAUGAAAGUGAUAUGGAUAAUGAAGGUGACGAAGACGAACUGGACAAAGACGUAGGGGAUAUAUUCUGAAUCAAACAGCAAUUGGGUAAAUUGGUGCAUAUCGGAGGAUGCACAGGUUCAGAGGGGGUGGAUGUCGUGUUGUAACACGAGUACAUAGUGAAAAUAAAAAGAAAGGGGAAUUUUAUUAAUAUUCAGUUACCUUGAAUAUUGGGAGCAUUGAUCAACUCGAGUACAAAUACUGAGUGGUCAGGUUCAGUCACUCCGUUACAGUCAGCCGGGGCAUACUGAAAUGCUCCAUUCGAUUCCAAUAACGGGAGUCAGCAGGAAGAGAGGACCAAUUUGACCCAGUUACGUGAAAUCCAGGUCUUACUACGGGUCUUAGCCAAUCUGACGCGAGGACCAAUUUGACCCAGUUACCAGAAAUCCAGGUCUUACUACGGGUCUUAGCCAAUCUAACGCGAGGACCAAUUUGACCCAAUUACGGGAACAUCCAGGUUACUACGGGCAUCUUUACCAAUAUAGGACCUGAAUUGGUCGGGCGACUCAAUGUGGUCCCGAUUACGGGGUUCGAUUCUGUUUCAGGCUGUCCUGUUCUCUGUGCCGUCUCAGGGAACUUUGUUUUCGAUAAAUGGAUUUCUUAAAGGUAAAAACGGAGGAGAAAGCUUGGCGGCGAGAGCCAAUUUCGAAUCCAAGUUGAGGUGAGAGCCAAUUUCGGAUCCAAGCUUGAGGUCGGAGCCAAUUCCGGAUCUAAGACGGAAGAUUGAAGAAAUUCAGAGGAUAAGGUUAGGUGGGAUAUAGUUUUGGGUGUGGGUUUUUUUUUUUGAGGGAAAUCGGGGGGGGGGAAGGGAGUUUUCAAGCUUCUACAAGGUUACCAGUUCGGUUUUCAUUGGAGUUUUUUGAAGAUCAAGGGAAUUAGAGAGAGGAGCUUCAUGCUUCGGGUCGGGGAAGGAAAGACAUAGAAUUUGGAUUUUUCUUCUUCGUAGAGUUUUAGGGAAGACUGAGGCAAUCGCUGCUGAAGUCAGUGUUGUAAUGGUGAAUCGGGAUUUUUAAAUGAAGUGGGUUUGAAUACUCUUGACUGUUUUGUGAAAUCGAGUUACGUCUGUGAUUGAAGGAUUAAAAGGGUGUCUAUAGGAUUGAGUAUGCGGAGUGAAUGAAAUUUAUUGGGUUAAUCUAACAAGACAGUCAGUGGAUACAAGAUCGUAAGUACAAAGCAGUAUUGAAGGUUAACAGUUUGGGUUGUACGGGGUUCUCUGUAACGUCUAGAGACCUAUCGGCUGGGGCAAAAAGGACUUCGACAAGCAGUCGAAGAGCACCCGUAUAGAUUUACAGUACAUUGUUGCAGUCGUUUAUAUUCCAGCAGUCAAAAACUGAUAGACUGCUUGACUAUCGGCGAAUCUCCAUACUACCUUCUACAGUCAGACGCCCGACGCGUUCUCGAGCAGGAAAGCACGUAAUACGACAACGUAGCCCCUAGUUAGAUAGUAUAUAUAGAAACAAGAGUGAAGGCUUCUUCACUCUUGUCAACUCCUUUCUUGCUUCUAGUCCAGGUUCAAGAGUCUUUAGUUUCUUGUCUUGUAGCAAUAGCCAUUCCAGUUUCCUUUUAAUAUACCUACUUGUUUAUAUUUGGACUUAUUAUAUCGAGAUAGCCUUUUUGUGUAUAUUUUCCCUCAUCGAGUCUUUGUCCUUGACACCCACAAAAAAUUGCUACAUGGUUCUUAAUUAGAUAAUAUAUAUAUAAAAGAAAAAAUAUAUAUAUAUAUUAUCUAAUUAUAUUAUAGUGAAGAAGGCCUUCUUCACUAUUGUCAAUAGCUUUUUAGUUCUUAGUCUUAUUUCAAGACUUUUUAGUCUUUUUGUCUUAGAUAAUAGUCAUUCUAGUUUAAUAUUAUACCAUCAUUGCAUGAUUUUUUAAACUUUUAUUUAUUGAUACAAGAUUUUAUUGAUCUUUUAGUUCUUUAAGUUUCAUGUCUUUGAUAGUUUGAUAAAAGUGCUAAUUCAUUGUUCUUAUUUUGAUUUAAAAGUAGAUGAAUAAUAAGGCAUGGAUAGAAUAUUUGUAUAAUUUACACAUAGAGAUGUGUAGUUGGAGUUGAGAAGUUUUUAGAAUUGAGAAUAGGGUAGUGAUUCAUAUGAGAUCUACUAUAGAAAUUUCUUAAAAGAUUUAGGAUAGUUAUCAUGGUAGAACGUCUCUCUAAAGGAUUCUUAAAGGAUAUUUAUAAUGAUAGAGUCUACCAUUAGAAAUAUUCUAGAAAGUUAAAGAUAGUUGAACAAGGUAUAAAUAAGAAUAAUAGAGGUAAUUUGGGCAUUUGGUUAAUUAUGGCUUUAAAUUCUUUCUUUCACUAAAGUUAGGUUAUUUUUUUUUAUUAUUAUUAUUUUGUUUUAUUUGAUUCUCUUUGAUUCUCUUUGAUUCUGUUAUCUUUUACUCAGUCUUGUCUUUUAUAUUCUAUUCUAUUUACUUACUUUCAGUUUUAUUCUGGUGUACUUCAACUUAUGUUGAAUUGAAAUCUUUGUUGUUAUGAAAUUGCUAAGGUUUUAGACCUUAAAAAAUCUUGUCCUAUUUCAUUGGUAUCAUAAUGAAUAUUAGUUUGUUCUUAAAUAGUGAGUUGAUAGCCAUCGUUUACUUGGAAGUUAAUUGUUGUGAUCACAUGGGGUACUAUUUUGCGACAACAAUGACCUAUUGUAAGAAAUCAAUUAGAAGAUGAGAAGGCAUUAUAAUAAUAAAAUUUGAUAACAAAAUUACAACAUGAAAGAUAUAAUAGAGCAAUUCCAAAUGGAAAUUCAGAUGUAACACCUUCUAGAGUAGAUAGCUACUCUACAAGAGCAAAUAGAACCUUCUAAGACCAAUGAAUUGACAUCUAUUGGGCUGAAAUUGAGCAAGCCCAAUACAUAUUCAAAGACCUCAAGGCAAUAAGAUGUAUGCUAAUGAUUCUUCAGCAUGCAACAAUAUCUCCAAUUACUUAGGACAAAUAUUAAUGAAGGAAUUAUAUAUAUCUUUAAUUAUUUGAAAGGUACAAUAGUCAUUUAGUGGUGAUAUCAAGCUCAAAGCUAUGGAGCUCAAGGCAAAUUUGAUAAUUGAGAGGAGUUUGAGACAAAGAUUAAGAUUCAAUUUUGGCACAUCAAUGAAGAGAAAUUAUUAUGCAAUCAGUUGGUUCUUACACUAUCCAAGUCAAUGCAAGAUUAUAUAUCCUGAUUCAAGUUCAUAUAUCUCUAAAUUGACAAGAUUUAAAGGCAAAGAUAAUAGAUUUAUUUGUAUAAGGGUGAAAACUUGUGGUCGACCAAGAAGUGGAAUUAAAAAAUUUACAAACAUUUAAGGAGGUAGUUAGGAUUAUAGAGAAGAUUGAUAUUAUAAACUUUAAAAAUGGUGGAGUAUGACCUAUAAUAAGUGGUGCUAUGCUAUUAGUCAAUACUAUGGUGCAACAAUAAAUUCCAAUGUAGAUUGAUGCUAUGCAAGGACCAUUGAUACUAUAGAGAUGACAAAUAUUGGUACAAAAAGAAUUAUAUUUUUAUUAUCCGGAGCCAAACCAUCAAAUUAGUGAUUGUUCAAAACAUCAAAGUUCAAGCACCAACAAAUUAUAACAAAUUCAUAAUCUAGAGGAUCACCAAGUUGAUGAAGAAGUGGAGCACAAAAACAAGUUUUUCCAAUAAAGACACUGAGGGCCAAUAGUAGAGAUAGUUGAUAUUUUUUAGAGACAAAUAACAUGACAUUUGAUAAUUAUUAGAAAAGGUCGACUAGUGUGUCUAAUGGACCGACUAAAAGGACAACCAUAUUGAAUACUUGUAGAUUGCAAUUCUAUAGAAAAUUGCAUCUUGACGGUAAUCACCAACCAACUUAGAAUUAAAAUAAAGGUGAUGAAAGGAAGAAGUAUAUACUUAGUAGAUGACCGAGUAAGAGAAGUGAAGAAGAAACCUUGAGGUUAAGUAACACCUAUGUCUUAAGGGAGAAGUUUAGAGUAACAAAGCUUAGAUAGUAUAUUAUUCUUGGUAUGCCAUAACUAGAGGUGGGAUAUACACAAGUCAAUUAGCUAGAAAAACAAAAAUCUCUUUGAAAAAUAGAGGACACACAAUGACUUUUUAUACCCAUGUAUCAAGUAGGAUAAUAAAAUAAUUUGCAACUAAGAUCUUACUCAUAGGAAUGGUCUUUAUGAAGAAGCAAAUAUGACAUAAGCAACUAAUAUAUGUGGUGGUUCUGAAUCUUGCCUCAAUAGUGGAAAAGUUAAUUAAAGGAGCAGAGGAGGUAGAAAAAUUCAUACAUGAAUAUCAAGAUGUCUUUCUAACCAACUUACCUAGUCAUGAACCACUUGGUUGAGAUGCCUUCUUCUAAUGAGAACUAGUGUUUGGGACCAAACUAGCAAGUUGGUCAAUUUAUCACCUAAUAUCAAAUGAAUUUAAAGAGUUACAAAAGUUAUUAGAAAAAUUCUUAAAGAAGUAUUUCAUUUAAGAAAUUAUAUCAUCAUAGAGAGUAUCUAUUCUAUUUAUAUUCAAAAAAGAUGGUAGACUUUGACUUUGACUUUGAUGUUGCAUCAAUUAUUAGGGCCUCAAUAGUAAACUAUCAAGAAUACAUAUCCACUUUCAUGUGUGGAUGAUGUUUUUGACCAACUUCGAGGUGCAACUAUCUUUAGAAAAUUCAACCUUCAAAGUGAUUAUUGGUAGACUCCUAUUGCCAAAGAAGAUAUAAAAAAGAUGGCAUUUUGUAUGCACUAUGGACAUUUUGAGUGGCUUAUAUUAUCUUUUGGCAUCACCAAUGCUUCAAUGACUUUUAUGGGUCACAUGAAUAGAUUAUUUUAGGACCUUUUAUAUAAGUAUGUGGUCAGCUUCAUUAAUGAUAUCUUAGUCUAUAAUAAAAUCCCUGAAGAGUAUGAACAACAUUUAUAGGAAGUAUUACGCCAGCUAUAUAAUAGUCACUUCUAUCACAAGUAAUCAAAGUAUAAAAUUUGGAAGUUAAUAAUCACUUUUUUGAGGCAUGUAAUAUCUUCCAAAAGGUAUGCGCAUAGAGCAAGACAACAUAAAAGCAGUGGAGGAUUGACCAACUUCCAAGGAUGCUUUAGAAGUUUGCUUAUUCUUGGGCCUUGGUGGAUAUUAUCGCCAUUUUUUUGGCAAUUUAUACACAAUUUUGCCUCAUUGACAAGCUUAUUAGAGAAGCAUGCUUCAUUUAUAUAGAAACUAGAACAAAAAAAGUGUCUUUGAGGAAUUGAAAGAUGUAUUAAUUAUUACUUCAAUAUUACUACUAUAUGAUCUCGGCCUUCCAAAUAUACUUAAUAUUGAUGCUUAUGACUUUGUUCUUGGCGUGGUUCUUCAAUAAGACUUUAAUAGAGGUCUUUAAUCUAUAGCAUAGAUAUCAUGCAAAUUCAGAAUGGCAAAGCACAGAUAUUCUAUACUUGAUGAAGAACAACUAGUAGUUAUACAUGCCACAAAGUUAUAGCAAUACUAUUUGUUGGAAAAGCCUCUGAGUGUUCAGACUGACCAUUGACUUCUACUAUACAAUUUGCAUCUAAAAAAUAUGAAAUUGUGACAUUAUCAUUGAAAAGUCUAGUUGUAGUACUUUGACAUUUAGCUUAAAUAUAAACAAGGGUAGCAACACAUCAUGCUGGACAUCUUAUUAUGUAAAUCCAACUUAAAAAUCAAAUUAGAUGAUAAAGUAGAAGUUAUUACCAUUAAUAAUAUCAUUGUAGAUUUAAAAAGAGGAGCAAAAUCAAUAGAAGCUAUGCAUUACAAUGCUUAUUUCAAGAUGGUUAUCAAUUGAUUAAAGAUGGACGAUGUAUAAUAUCAAGAUUAUUGUAUCAAUAAUGGCUUGCUCUAUUUCAAGAAGCAGAUUUAUAUACUUGAUGAUGCUAUACUUUAGAUGUACAUAUUUUAAGAGAGAUAUGUCAUUCCAAUAUCUAGAUAUUUAUAAUACAAAAAGACUUUAGAACGGAUCUCAAAAAUAUGAUUUUGGAUAAAUUUGGAUGAUUAUAUUUGAACUUUUGUGCAUUCUUAUAAAUCAUGUCAAUAUAAUAAAGCACUCAAUAUAACAUCUCUUAGGCUAUUGCAGCCAAUUCCACUACCUAUGGCACAAUAGAAGCAAGUGACUAUAGACCUCAUUACGUAUUGGCCGAAGAUGCCUCACAAUGACACUAUGGUUGCUGUAGUAUGCUUUCAUAUUGAUACUACAAUACUUACUUGAGUUUUUUUUGAUACUAUCUUUUGUCACAAUAGAUUAUUUUGUAUCAUGAUUUUACAUUGGAAUCUAUGCUUCAUGAAGAGUUUUUGAUAAGCCUUGUUCAAGUUAUUGGACACACAACUUGCCAAAUCUAUGGCUUUUUAUUUACAAACAGAUGGACAAAUAGAGCGUGCAAAUUAGAUCCUAGAGGAUAUGCUACAAGCAUUUGUGAUUGUUUAUCAUAAUGACUAGAAUGAAUAUUUGAUGCCCUUAGAAUUUGCCUACAAUAAUAAUAUUCAAGUAAGUAUUAGUUAUUUAUUAUUCUUCUUUAAUAUGAAUCAGUAGCCAAUUAUGCCAACAAUUCUCCAUUGUCAUAUUGACACCAAUAAUCUAACAAUGGAGGAAUAAGAUUAUUAUAAGUUUUUGUAUAAAGUUUAUACAAAGACUUACAAUAACCUUGGAGCAAACACAAUACCGUCUCUUUAUUAUAUAAAAUCAACAAAAAUACUAUGCAAAUAACUACUGGCAAUCCAAGGCCUUUCAAGUGGGUGACUAGGUAUUAUUCUACAAUGCCAACCUUCCACUUAUUACAUCAACUCAAGUCUACAAGCUACUACCUUGAUGGCUUAGAUAUUUUCAUAUUUUUUGUAAUAAUUUCUAAUGUUUCAUAUUGUUUCAAGCUUCUACCACAUAUUCGAGUCCAUUUGGUCUUUCAUGUUUUGUAACUCAAGGAUUUUUAUAUUAAUCUAAGGUGCUUUUUGUAUCAACAUCAACCACUAUUACCACCACUGGUUGUAAUUGAUGACCAACAAGAGUAUGAAGUGGAUAGUAUUUUGGAAAAUCACUACAUUCACUGUGGCAAUGGACAUCUACAACUUUAGUACAAAAUUCUCUAGAAAGGUUAUGUUAUCCACAAUGUAACAUAUGAACCUAUACAAAACCUCACUUAUUGUCAAAAAACCAUUUGAAAAUACCAUUGAGAGCAAAACAAGGAUGUUCCACAUUAGAGGAGAAAGAUUAGUUGUAAUAUGGCAUAGAUAGGAUAUAUAUAUAUAUAUAUAUAUAUAUAUAUAUAUAUUAUUUGUACAUAGAGAUAUGUAAUUGGAAUCAUUUUUUAGAAGUUUCUAAAAUUGAAGCUAAGAUGGUGGUUCAUAUAAGAUCCACCAUAGAACUUUUGAGAAAGGCUUAAAGUGGUUAUCAUGGUAGGAUCCACUUCUAAAGGCUUAUAGAAGGGCGAUUGUCUUGAUAGGACCUACCAUUAGAGACAUCGUAAAAAGCUCCAAGAUAAUUGAAUAAAGUAUAAAUAGGAUUGGAUGAGGCUAUUUGGGCAUUCAAUUAAGUAUGGUUUCAGACUCUUUCUCUUAGUAAAGUUUGGUUGUUUUUUCUUAUUCUAUUCUUUUUGGUUUUUUUUUAUUCUAUUCUCUUUUUUUUUAGUCUUAUCUUUCAUAUUCUAUUUUAUUUAAUUUCUUUUAAUUUUUUUCUGAUAUGUUUGAUCUUAUAUUAGAUUGAGAUCUUUAUUUUUGUGAAAUUGGUAAAAUUUUAGAUCUUAGAGAACCUAAUAUUAUUUCAAGGUAGACCAUUGUGAGUCAUCAAAUUGACUCACUUAUUAUUUUAGAAUAAAAAUAUGCAUUUAGAAUGCUUUAAAAUACAAGAUAUAGUAAGUAGUGUAGAAAUCCUUAGAGAAAUAGAAAAUUAGAAUGCUAGUGGUAGAAUGAAAUCUUAGCAAGACUUAGAGGCAAUUAUCUUUGUUGGUUUAGUAUUUUUAUUCAUUGUUGAAUAAUAAGGAUUAUUUAUUAAGACCAAUAUUUAUAUUGGUCUUCUAUCUAUAGGUACUACUUAUAAAAACUAAAAAUCUUAGUAGUUUAGAAGAAGCAUGAAAAAGAACCUCAUGUCAUUUUAGUUAUUGGUAUAAAAAAUAUGAUUUAUAACGGAUUUAAAGUGAUUUUUAUUAUUAUCAAAAAUCACAAGGUAUAAAAAUAUAGACUUAGAUGUAUAUUAGCAUUACAGAAAUAUUAUAGAAUUUUUCAGAAUUUAUUUAGAAUUUAUUUAGAAUAAUUUAGGAAUUUUUAGAGCAAUUUUUAAUAUCUUGGUAAAAAUGAGUUUUAUCACUUUGGGAGCCUUUAUGAAGCACCUUGAAAGUAGUUAAGAGGAUAAGACUAAAUCUUCGUGGCCUAUCUUAAAUCCCCUUAUAUACUACAUGUGAGCCUUGAUGAGGCUCGAAUCCUUGUUCUAUAAGCAAGUUACCUUUGAAGUAAAAUACUUUUAUUUUAUUUUUUAAUUAUUUAUUUCAUAUCUUUAAAACUUCAUAAUUUACUCGUAGUAAUUCAGAUUUAUAUAUUUUUUAUAUCAUUGGAAAGACAAUAAAAUUAACUAUUUAAAAAAUUUUAUUUUUUUAUUUUUUUACUUUUACUUUUAUUGGAUGAAAAUACAAUAAACACACUGUAAUUUAAUUUUGGAUGUUAUAAUUGCUUCAUGUCAUUUAUUUCAAUUGCUUUGUGGUUUUUCUUCUUUUUUUCUUGUUAUUUGCUUACUUCACUUUAUACCACCAAUUAAAAUUAACUCUUAAUUGAAGCCAUCUUGUAACUUAGGUUGAGGAGUGAAAAUUUAUACUUACAACCACUCUACUUUUAUUCUUGUAUUUUGAAGGUUGUGGACUAUUUUCAAGAGCAUAAAUCUUAAAGAACUCAAAGAUUAAGUCAUUCUUAUAUUACUCAAAAAUAUUAGAUAAUCACUCAAAGAUAUUAUAAUAUUAAAUUAAAAAGUCUUAAAAUAAAACUUAGAAAUAAAAAGAUAUUGAUAAGAGUAAAGAAGACUUUGUUAUUGCCUCUAUAUAUACUAUCUAACUAUGAGCUAUAUGGCAAUGUUCUAUAGGACCUCCAACACGUAUUGACUUUGCCAAACACAUGUCUUAGUUUAUAAGAUAAGUUUUUUAUAUAUUGACUAUAUAGUUAAUUUGUUCCACAAGCUACCAAUACAUGUGAUACAUGUUUAAUCUGUUGACAAAGUUUCUAAUCUAUCAAUUAACUACAAGCAUGUAUAAAAUCAAAGCAGCAUCUAUGGAGCUUCUAAAAAGCUUUCUUAUAAGAUAUUAUGAAAUUAAUCUACUUUUAUAUACUUCUACUUAAUCAUAUAUGUAAUUAUUACAAUAAAUUUGUAUGUCCAUAAUAUUACCCUCUUUCUUGGGACGAGUUUCAUAAAGAACAAUCAUUAUAUGUUGAAUCAUCUAAGAUGCAAUGAAUUAUAUUUGCUAUAUAAUUUGAUCUUUAUUUUCUUCAAAGAUAGUUAAUAUGUCCUUUUAGCCAUUGAUAGUCUUUCAUAGCAAAGUAAGAAGACUACCAUUGUCGGAAUAGAGAGAGUUUGCCUUAAAAAAGUACUGGAUAUCUAGCUCCCACUAAUUGCUCAAUCAAGUCUUGAGAUAAGAAAGAUCAAGUUUGUAUAUAUACAUAUAACACCUUUAAGUCCUAAUACACCAAAUAUAUAAGUCUUAAGUUUCCAAAAACAUCCAAAAUAUGAUAAACCAUCUAAAUCCUUAAAUAUCCUUAUGGACUAUUAUUUCGGAAUUUCAAUACCUCAUAUCUCCUGAUUCAACUGUCCAAACUUACUCAAAUUUUACAUGAAGUACUGAUGUAUUUUUAUCAAAUUUCACAACAAAUUUCAAUUGCAAAUUCAUUUUGGAUCUUAAGAUAUCACCAAAGUCCUAACAAUAGCUUCAAAUCCUAGUUUUUAUUCAUCUACGUGCAAUUUUCUUUAUAUCCUACAAACUAAACACCCAAAUACCACAAAAUUUGUAUAUAUAGUUUUUAACACAAUUAUCUACCUUCUCCAAAAGGUUUCAGCCAAAAAUUCUUCUAGAAAUUCAAGAUAUGGCUCCAACCAUUACUAUGAAUAAAAUCACUUACUUACUGCCUUUGAUUUGGAUGCACUGACUUCAACCCUCUAUAACUUCUUCAUCCAAACUCCAAAUUUAUUAAACAAUAUAUGAAAAGUGUGGUCAAAGAAGUAUUCUCUUCAAUCCUAAUUGCCGAUCUUUUGGCGCUCUCUAUAAAUAUAUGUUAUGCCCUAAAGAACGACAAUAGGUAUGAAAUUAAUACCUUAACUUGGAGUGCUAAUAACUCCUUCAUAAAAACUCCAAAUCACACAAAAUUUGCAUCCAAUCCGUAUCCAAAAACCUAAAAUUGAUGAUCUUAGCUUCUAAACCUCGAAUGACUUCAAAAAAAAAAUCCUAAUUCCUAAUAUGGCCUCGAGCAGCCUCCUUAAAGCCCAUUGGGUAUGGCCUUCGAUCAAUAGGAAUGAAGUUUUCUAUUCCUUGCCUUCAUCCAAUCAUGCUUUGUUUUCAUCCCUCCCAAUAAGCCUCCUAUUAGUUAAGGUUUUCUUCUUUAGGCUCUAAUAUCUUGUCAAAUCUUUAUACUAAAUAUUUAGGUCUUAUAAUUUUUUUAAAUACUAUAAUUAGAAUAAAUAAAAUCCAAAAUAAAGAUUUUUAUAUCCAUUCUCUUUAAAUUAAACUAUUAACCAUUCUAAUAUACAUCUAGAUUUAUUAACAUAUAAUAUAUUUUAACUAAUUUUUACAUACUAUAAGCUUUUAUUGUAUGACACCAUAUUAUUUAAUCAUUAUUGAGACCUUCAUAACUUUCUUCAAAUAAAAUAUUUGAAACAUUGUCAUAAGUUAUUCUACUUUUAAUAAAAUCAUCAAACAUUGAGAGUCUCUUCUAAGGUUGUGAUACCAAACACAUUGUAUCUCACCAUCUAUAUAAAGGACAUGUAAUUCUUGAAGAUCUUUAUCUCGAUUAUGACAUCUUAAAGAUUGUAAUAAAUACAAUAUCUUAUCUAAUAAGUUAGUAAACAAUAAUUCUUGAAUUGAAUCUGUUGAUUAUUGAUUUUUCAUCUCUUUAGCGCCAUAAACACAAAGAAGCUACAAAUAAAGAUAGAAUGUAGAAUGCUAUUUUUUUUGGAUCUUAUUUCUUUUAUACCAAAGAUUUAUCAUUCUUCUUUUUUAUUAUGAUAGAUGUCAUUGUAAAAAGCAUGAACUUUCUUUGUUGCAUUUGUAAGAUUUUUUGUUGGCUCGAACGUAUGUUAGUAAUAUCAUAUUUAUAAUAAUAAAUAAGAUAUUUCAACCUAUUUUUGCAUCACCUUAAAUCUAAGAUUUUUUCUACUUCAAAUUAUUUAUUAUUAUCCACUUCUAUAAGAGAAGGUGGCAUUUUUCUUCUUUUCAAGAUUUUCAAAUUCUUAUAUGGCUCAAAAAGAGACAUAUUAAAUAUAAAAUGAAUCUUCAUAGAUUCCAAUAGAUGUAAUUGAUAACUAAUAAAAUUGCUUUCUUUACUAAUAGAAAAAGGUCCAAGCCUACAAUAGUCCAACUUGUCACAAGAAUGAAUAGUCUUAAUAUAACAACAAAGCAACUAUAAUUUAUCAUCCACAUUGAAUUGUGGUUGUUCUUUAUAAUAGGCAUUUGCAUUGAAUUUUUUUUAUUCUUGAGUUUUUUUUAAUUACGCCUUCAUUGUUGCAUAUAGCUCUAAUAAAUAAUUUUUUAAAUCUUUUGCUACAUGAUUAUCAACUUUUGAAAAGUCAAAAGUAUCAAGUUAUAGAUGAUAACCAUAAUUGGUAAAAAAAAGUGUUUCUUAGGUAGAAAAAUAUACAAAAUAAUUAUACAUAAAAUCUUUCAAUGGCAAAAGAAUUACUUAAUCAUCUUAAAGAUAAUUGAUGGUAUAAUUCAAAUACUAUUCCAUAAUUUGAUUCAUUCAUUAUAUUUGACCAUUAGUUUAAAGAUGAAAAAUCAAAGAUAAUUUUAUAUCUACUUUUAAUAUCUUAAAAAAGAUUCUCUAAAAUCUUGAUACAAAUUAUAUCCUUUUAUUUGAUAUAAUAUUCUUUAGCCAUCUAUAAUAGCAAUAAAUAUUAUCAAAAAAAAACUUAGUUAUUUCUUUCUUAAAAUAGAUUUUAAAAAUAGUAUAAAAUAUGCCAUUCUAGUGAAGAAAUCUACAAUCAUGAAUAUAGAGGCAUAUAAACUUGAAUUUGAGAGAUCUAUAAUAAAAUCUAUAGAAAUAGAAGACCAUGAUUGUUUUGAUAUAGGCAAUAAUUGGAGAAGUUCAUAAGAUCAAUAAUAAGGAGUUUUUGAUCUUGAACAAAUAUCACAUUAUUGUACAAGGUUUUUUACAAUCUUUCACAUUUAUGACCACUAAAAAUCUUUGGAUAAAAGCUCCAAAGUCUUAUUGUAUCCAAAAUAUCUAGCAACUAGAAAGUUAUGAUAUGCUUGAAGAAUAUAUAAAUAUAUAUUUUUUUUUAGAAGAUAUGAUCAACCUUCAAUAUAGAGUAGGUUAUUUUUGAACUUGAAUUUAAAAGUAUCAUGAAAAUUCAAAGAAAUUAUCUUAAUAUCAUAAACAAGAGGAUUAGAGGACAUACUUCAUUGAAUUUACUUAAUAAAAGUUGAAUUUAUUGCUCAAAGAUAAAAUUGCAUAGGCUUCAAGAUGACCAUUUUCUGUUAAUUAAAAGCUCUAUGUCCUUCUUUUGAUGGAAGAUAAGAAUGUCUAAGAGUGCAUCUGACAAAUCUUAUUGAUUUUUAGAUCAAUAUAAGAUUUUAAAAUCAAAUUAUAAUAAUGACAUGCUUCAACAAGAUUCAAGGAGAUUCAAUAUCUUGUCAAGCACAUGAACUAAAAGAUGAUGCAUAAAUCAAUGAAAUUAGUAUCAAAGAAAGAGUGAAAAAAUACAAAUAAGGAAGUAUGUAUAUUAAAAGAAAGUGGAAAGGCUUAUUGUCAAAAGACAAGAAAACUUGAGACUCUUGAAAUUAGACUAGAAGUAAGAAAGAAGUUGAGAAGAGUGAAGAAGACUUCACUCUUGUCUCUAUAUAUACUAUCUAACUAAGGGCUAUGUGGCAAUAUUUUAAAAGACCUCCAAUAUGUGUUGACUUUGUAGGACACAUGCCUUGACUUACAAGACAAGUUUUUCUAUUUCUAGGCUACAUAGUUAGCUUGGUCAACAAGUUGGUCAUGUGUCACAUAUGUUGUUAACUUGAAGAGCAAGCUUCCUAGAAGAUAUUAUAGAAAUAACUUGUUUUUAUUUACUUCUACUUACUUCUACCUAAUUAUACAUGUAAUUACUAGCUUAUAUGCAUAUGUCUAUGACAUAUCCUCAUUGACAUGAAGUACUUAAGGUUCUUCUGAUUUAUAUACAUGAUGAAUGUAUUAAAAUUAUAUUUUAGAUAAUGAUACUAUUUCUAUAAAGAAUCUAAAACUACAUGAAGUUAUUUAUUAUAGAUUUUAUAGUUAAUUUCUAUUGUUGAAAAUUUUUAAGAAUUAAAAGUUAUUAAAUGGAGUUUAUUAUUAGUUUUUAUUUAUAGAAGUAUUAUACCAAAGGCAAAAUUUGAUGCAUUUGUUUCCACAAAAAAUAUCUUGAAAAAAUUGACUCAAUACAAAAUUGAUAUAGAACUAGAUUCUUUCUUGAAAGUAUUUAACAAUACUUUUGUUACUUUAUUCUAUUUAAAUUUGUCUUUACAAGUCAAACAUGUAAGUAGGAUGCAACUUAAGAAAAGUUUUUGAUGAAGAUAUGAUAGUAAUUGACAAAGCUCAAAAAAUAAUAUACAUCUCGCAUUGUUCUUAAAAUCUUCUAAUCUAUGAAAAUUUGAAUUUUUUUUGGAUCCAUUAUUAAGCUUUUGUUGGAAGUGAUGUAGCCUAAGAAGUCAACUUGAGUAGUGUGGAAUAUAAACUUAUGUAUUUUGGCAUAUAAUCAUGCAUCUUUAAGUUUUUGUAACAUACAACGAAUAUAAAGUUUAUAUUUUUCUAUGCACUUAGAAUAAAUUAGAAUAUUGUGUAAAUAGUAAAUAAUAAAUUCAUCAAGAAAUGACAAAAAAUAUCAUUUUUAAGAUGUUGAAAAGUAGUUGGUACAUUUAUGAAUCCAAAAGGCAUAACAAUUUAUUUGUUUGAUUGAAUUAGUCAAAAAGUUCUAAAAUCAGAGGUAAAAGAUACCUAUUCUUGAUGGUGAUCUUAUUAAAUCUUGAAUCGUCUAUGUACAUUUACAAAGAUCCAUCUUUUUCUUUUUACAAAUAAAAUAGGAGUUUCUGCUAGAGAUUUUGAAUGGCCUAUAAAAAUUUUGUCAAGUUCUUAUUAAUAUAUUUUUUGAAAGCAAUCAACUUAUUUUAUAAUAAUUUAUAAAUCAAUCUGAAUGGUGGUUCAAUUUUUUCUUAUAAAUCAAUUAAAAAAUUAUAGAAUCAAUAAUCUAGAAGAAUAUCUGUAUUUUUUUAAAAUGUCUUGAAAAUCUUAAUAUUAGCUAAGAAUAUCAUUUGUUAUCUUUUUACUAUUAAAAAUAGAAGUGGAAUAUAUAGCAAAAGAUGAUCCUUCUUUUGCUGUAUGCAUGAAAGUUCUUGCAUAUAUCAAUAAGAAUUUAGAUGUCAUAUAUAUAUAUUUCUACUUAUUCAAUAGAAUUUUGAAUUAAAUUAUCAAAAAAAUUAAGGUUACAAGAAAUCCAAUCUAUUUAAAGAUUAUAUUUAUUAGCUAUGAUAAUCUUAAAAUAAUUAGGUUGGAAGAAGAUCUUAUCAAAUUAAAUAUUACUAUGCUAUUAUGAUCUUUAAUUACUACAUUUGAAAAACAAUCUCAUAGAUAAUAUCUCCAACAGAUGACAAACGACCAUCUAUAAUUUCUACAUAUAUGGAUUUUAGUUUUUUUGACUAAUAAUAUUUCUUAUUUUUUGAUAGAAGUCUUUAUCUAUAAAACAAGCCAAGACUCUUGAAUCUAAUAAGACAAAGAUUUUAUGAUUUUUAGAUCUUAAAUAUAUAUUUAUUGUUAAAAAAGGUGAAAUAUUUGAAAAAAAAAAUAGAAACUUUAUUAGGUGUUGCAUAUGAUUUGUGCCACACAAUCCUAUUGUAGCAAAAAAAAAUAAAAAAUAAAAAAUAAAAAAAUAAAUCAUUUUUUGACAUAUUAUCUUCUUUGGCAAACAUGUUCCUCAUUUUGUGAUUGCCUUGUUUCUUUAGAUAAUGUUGAGUGGUGUGUUUAGCUUCUCUACAAUAUAAGCAUAAAUUUUCUUGACAAUAUCAAAUCUUUUUUUGCUCAAUAAGAAAUUUAAAAUUUAUUAUAUUAAUUUAUAUUGAUUCUUGCCUUAAUGAAUAAAUUUUUUAAAACUUACAAAUUAAUUUUAUUAUUUUAUUUGUUCUUCUCCAUCCAAAUCUUUAUUCUUAAUGCCUUUCAUAUAAUUGAUUGUUACAUGCAAUGGCUUGAGAAAUAAAUUAUUUCAAAGAAUUUACUUUCAAUAUUAUUAAUAAUAAAUCUUUGAUUUUAUCCUUCAACAUAUAUCAAAAUUGAUAAAUAAAGGCUUUGUAAUUCCAAUCCAUGUCGUAAACAAGGUUUUGGAAUUCAAUAGCAUAUAUGGUGAUUAAUCAUCAUCGUAUUAAGUAUUAUCUUGUUUGAAAAUGCACCAAGCACUUGGUUGUGAAAGAUGAAGUUGUAUUUUAUAAGUAUCUAAGAAAUUCUAAUAUAUUUUAUCCAUAUAAAAAGAAUAUAAUUUGAAUUUGAAUUCAAAAAUAUUUAAAGCCAAUAAAAAGUAAUCAAAAAUAUUCUUCUUAAUAAUCUUAAUCAUAUACAAAUUCCGAUUGCCUUAUUACUUUUAUAAUUAGGUAAUUUUGAUUUUUCUUUACAAGCUCUAAUUUUAGUGAGUGAGCUUUAAUAAUCUACAAUUUUUAAUUUGACCAUCUAUUUGGUGCAAAGUUUUAUAUACAAAUUCCACUAAAAAUCUUUUACAUGCUUAAAAAAUUUUUGCUCAAUCCAACUUACAAAUUAUAAGAAAACAUCCAAAAAAUUGUACUAACCUCACUUAACCACUAACUUGAAAGUUGAUAUAGAUAUUCCAAUAGAAAUUUUUCUUUUUUUAAUUAUUAAUUUUAGUUCAAAAUUGAUGUAUAGCUUCAUCAAGUCUUUUAAUACCAUGCCAAAUUUUAUCUUGAUUUAAUUAGUAGAUCUUUAGAUAUUAUAGAAAUACUACUCAAUUCCAAACUACCAACUUUUGAUACCUUCUUGUAGCAAAAACUAAUUAUCUCUCAACUACAUUGUUAGAUUAAAUAUAUAUAUAUAUAUAUAUAUAUAUAUAUAUAUAUAUAUAUAUAUAUAUAUAUACUUAAUACAUCCAAUCAAUCAAGUAUUAUCAAAUUUUGAAGUAUAGAUGUGACACCAAUUGCACAAACUACCUAAAAAUACAAACUCUAAUUGUAUUGCAUAAAUCCAAAGUUACCAAAACAAAUCUUGACUUUGAAUAAUAAUUACAAAUUCAUUUCAAAUCUUAUAAAAAUAAACAUUAUAUCUAUGAAAGAAGCUUAAAGCUAGUUAUCCAAAUCCAAUCAUUGAUCUUCAAAUACCUCUAGACUUUGCCUUAAGUGACCAUUUAGUAGCUAGUGGUCUAAUUUUAAUCAUGUUCUACAAAUGGUCAAUCCUUAGAUACCAAUCCAAUCUAUGUUAGGGAUUUUUUAGCUUGGCCCUACCUUCAACUUAAUCUUAGUCUCAAUCAUAUUAAUCAUUCAUUUCUUUUAUUAUAUUUUUAUUAAUUUAUGGCUUUUUAAGAUUAUAAAAGAAUUUCUACAAUCUAAAAGAUAAAAUUACUAAAAUUUAAUACACUAGUUAUUAAGACAAGAAUAUAAAUUAAGAGACUUUUAUAAAAUCUAUGUUUAAAUGUUUAAAAUUAUUAUUGAAUAAAAUAAUUAUAUAUUAAUUAAAAUUUUAUUUUUGAUUAUAUUUCUUCUAUAUAAUUGUAUUAUAAUACAAUACUAUGAUCUUUGUUGUAAAAAUAAAAGUUUGAUCUUUGCUACUCUUCUUAAAUCAUUUUUUCCGAAUGUGGUAAUAUAAACUUCUAAAAAUAGAUUCAAAUAAUAAAAGAGUCAUGCAUCUUUUUCAUCAAAGCUGCAAAUCAAAAAAAAAAAAUACUUCCAAAAAAAAGUACACUUUUGAAUCAAACUUGAGUAAAUUCAUUAGAGUAUUGAAAAGGAUGCAAUCUUAAAUAGAGCUUAAUUUCUUGUAAAAAUUCUUAAAAUAUUGAUCUUGCUCUAUUAAACUCCUGAGGCAUACUAAUUCUUGUCUCUUUUGUGCUUGUAGAAACAAAAUUUCUUAAAUUUGGUUAUGACGUUGAUCUACUUGCUUCUAUCAAUUACACAACUUUUUGGUAUAGAAUCUAGACUUUUUCCAUAGAUAUAAAAAUAUUUCUUUUGUAGUGGAUGAUAGUAAUCCAUGAAAUUUAUAUCUUAAAAAUAUUGACAAGUUUAUAAAGAUCUGCAAUAGUUGCAAAUCUAUUUGUACUUUCAUCAAGUCUAGCAUCUACAAUUUUUCUUUGUAUUUCAAAAAACUUAAUAAUCUAUAAGUCAAAUUAGAAGAAGGUAAUCUGUAAUUUCUAAUAUUAAAUGAAAAUUUUUACAAAGAAUCAUGAUCCACUUUCUUUAAAAAAAAAUCAAUGUUAGAAAAUUAAAUUAUUUUUUAAAAGGUGGAUAGUCUACAACCUUCAAAAUUCAAUAGUAGGAAUGAGAUAAUCCACUCACUUCUAAAACAAGAAAAAAAUAAUGAAUUAAUAUUCAAGUCAAACUAUAAAAGACAUAAAUUUUAAAGAAAAAAGAAAAAAAAAAAAAAAAAAAAAAAAACUCAAUACACUCUAAAGUCACUUGAAAAGAUUAAAAAAUUAUUCAAAGAUUAUAAUAUAUUCAACUAAAAUGGCUAUUGCCAAAGACAAGAAGACAAGAAGACAAGAAAGUCUUGAAAUAAGACUAAAGACUAAAAAGGCAUUGAGAAGAGCGAAGAAGGCUUUAAUCUUGUCUCUAUAUAUUCUAUCCAACUAGAAGCUAUGUGGUGAUGUUCUAUAUGACUUCCAACAUGUUUUGACUUUAUUAGAUACAUGUCUUAAUUUACAAGAUAAGUUUUUUGUAUGUGUACUACAAAAUUAGCUUAUUCUACAAGCUAUUAAUACGUGUGAUAUGUAACUAACUUAUUGUCUAAGUUUCUAACCUAUCAAUUAACUAAAAACAUGUAUAAAAUCAAAAUAGUGUCUAUGAAGCUUCUAAGAAGCUUUUUUAGAAGCUAUUAUAAAAUUAAUUUACUUUUAUAUACUUAUAUUUAAUCAUAUAGGUAAUUAUUAAAAUAAAUAUAUAUAUUUGUGACAAUUAUCUACUUUAAAUUAAUAUUUUAGUUUUUUAUAUUAAUUUUUUUUCUUAAAAAGAAUUAUCUAUUCUUAUCUAUAGAAAAUUUAAUUUGGUAUUAGAGAUUCCAAAUUAUCUACCUCUAAUUUGAUUUUUAGAUUUAUAUAAAUUACCUAUAGAAGAAAAAAUUAUAGAUGCUAUUCUUCAUAGAAGUAAGAAUAGAUUUGUAACUAUUGUAAAUCUUUAUAAGCUUAUCAACACUCUUAAAGUAGAAAUUUCACUUAUCUUGAAUACCAAUCAUAGAAGUAAUAUUUAGAUGCCUAUGAAAGAGGUCAACAAUGAAGUUUAAAGUCUAUGCUAAGAUGUUGUGCAAUUGAGAGAAGCAAGUAGAUCAAGUUCACAACUAAAUCCAAUGAUUCUUGUUAUUAUAAGUAUAAAAGAGGCAAAGAUAAGUAUGCUAAAGAAGUUCAAUCGAACAAGAUCAAAAUUUUGAAGAUUUCAACAACAAAUAAGGUUCUAUCGAAGAUUGCAUCUUUUUUAAUACUUUCAUGGAUUUAUUUAAGUAAGAUUCAUAGAUUUUUCUUUAUAAAAUAAUCUUUCUUAAUUUUUAUCUUUGAGGGAAAAAGAUUCAUGUCUUUUCUAUAAUUUGAAUUUAUUUUGAAAAGUAUUCACUUCCACUUUUAGAAAAAAUCAUCAAAAAAAGAUAGCAAAGAUCAAACUGUCAAGGACAAGAACUCGAUGAAAAACAAUUCAGACAAGCGAGCCUUCACUCAAAGAGAGGUAAGAAAUUAAUUUAAACAAGUAUAUAUAUUGAAAUAGAAACUGGAAUGGCUAUUGCCAAAAGACAAGAAAACUAGAGACCCUUGAAACUAGACUAGAAGCAAGAAAGGAGUUGACAAGAUGUCACGGAUACAAAAUACAGACAAGAAAACUAGACAAGAAGUUCAAGAAGAACUGGAUUAAUCAGAUGAGUACAAGAACAACACCAGAAAGGUGAGCUAGAACUCCAAGAGAUGUGUUGUCGAGACUGAAGAACCCUUCAGCCUCGACUCCUAUAUAUACUACUGAAUAGGAAGCUUCUCGAGCUACUUCCGCUAGCUAGGACGCUUCUCCAACAACUUCUACUAAUUAGGAAACUUCUCGAGCAACUUCCUAGAAUCUAUCAGAAUAUUCUAGAACCUUCUAAGAAUAUUCUAGAACCUUCUAAGAGAAUCUUUAGGGAAUAUUCUAAGAAUCUUCUAGAACCUUCUAAAGGAAUCUUUAGAGAAUCUUUAGAGAAUAUUUUAGAAGAAUAUUCGAAGAAUCUUCCAAUGUAUGUCCAUGACAUCACCUCCUCUUCUAACUUCGAGGUCUCCGAGAAGCAAUGUUGUUAUCAGUCAAUACCAACGCAAGAAAAUGAAAAUCUGUCGCAUCACAUCCGCUAUGAAUUCCAAUUGUUGUUCGCGAGGCAAAUGAUUCAUCGGCCCUUGGAGCCAACGGUAGUGACUAACACCUUCAACCUCUGACCAAGCGUGGACUUCUGUGUCUUCAUUGUGAAACUGUCCUCCAAACACACCUUCUGGCUGACCGUCGUAGGCAGGCUCGACCUCAAAUACAAUUACUAGCGAUCUGUUGCUCGGUAUCCUCCGACGUCGUCGUGGUGCAGGCGGUUCUUCAUCUUGCGGUCGUCUUCGUGAGCUAGUCGCUUGAGAUGACAUAACAAGUGUAGUAUCUUGACUAUCCAUGUCCAAAGGCUAAAAUCAUGAGAGCAAACUAUAGUUGCUAACAAAGUUCUACACUAUCGAAUUAUGGGUUUUGGAAGUGCCCUCCCCCCUUUUUAUGCUACUUGAUGAGCAAGCUUCAGCAAGAAGCUAUCGUUGAAUCGGCUUAGGUUUAUGAGGAUAUCGUUGAUGAAAUUCUUGUACCUUUUUUGGUGCAUUGGCAAGAUUUUUGGCACGCUCCCACGUUCGUUCAUUGAUGUCGUAUCCACUCCAAUGCACUAAAUACUCCAAUUUUCUCCUAUUACGCCGUGAAUCUAGUACCUUUUCCACCUCGUAUUCCUCAUGGUUUUCAAUUUCGAUACUUGGUGGCGGACUUUGUACUCUUUGGGGAAAAGCUGACUCUCGAUAAGGUUCCAACAAAGACACGUGAAAGACUGGAUGUACCUUCAUAGUAGCUGGUAACUCCAGACGAUAUGCCACCGGAUUGAUCUGCUUCCCGAUAACAAAUGGCCCUAAUCUUCGAUAGUCCAAUUUGUCACAUGGCCGCUUGGUCUUGAUAUUUCGUCGAAGAAGCCAUACUUUACUUCCAACUUUAAAAGUAGGCGCCUUAUUUCGAUAUUUAUCUACAGAUGCCUUGUAACUCUCUUGGGCAGAUUGCAAUUGAAGCUUCAACGUCGCUUGAAGCUCCGAUAGUUGCUUCACAAAUCCUUCAGCUGUUGGGUUGUUAUUUGCUGAAGAACUCAAUAAAUCGAGCUUGGGGUGGUAUCCGUAGUUGGAGAAGAAUGGUGUUUGUUGAGUUGACGCAUGAAGAGUGUUGUUGUAUGCGAACUCAGCAAGCGAUAGAUAUGCAGUCCAAUCAUCUUGUUGAUAGUUGAUGCUGCAUCGUAAAUAUUGCUCCAAAACUUGAUUCACCCGCUCCGUUUGACCGUCAAUUUGAGGAUGAAAAGCCGAAGAGAGCUUAAUAUCCACCUUCAAUAUCUCAAAGAGGGACCUCCAAAACUUGGAUACAAACUGAGUACCUCGAUCCGACACGAUAUCAUCUGGUAGGCCAUGAUAACGAUAUAUGUUAUCAAGAAAGAGUCUUGCGGUGUCUUCACUUGAUGAUGUUUUCUUGCAAGGCACGAAAUGCGCCAUCUUUGUAAAUCGAUCCACCACAACAAAGAUGCUGUCAAAUAAACUCGAUGGCGGUAGGUCCGUAAUGAAGUCCAUAGAAACUGAAGACCAUGGUCGGUGCGGAAUAGGCAAUGGCUAGAGAAGUCCAUACGGACGAUGUCAAGGGAUCUUGGAUCUUGAACAAACAUCACAAGAAAGGACAAAUUCCUUCACAUCCUUCCACAUUUGGGGCCACCAAAAAUCUCGUGAAAUGAGCUCCAAAGUCUUGUUGAAUCCAAAAUGUCCCGCAGCUGGAAAGUCGUGGCGAGAUUGAAGUACUCGGAGUCGAGUUGGUCCUUUCGGGAUAUACAACCGCUCCUCAAAAUACAGAAGAUCUCCCUCCACCUUAAACUUGUCAUUAUCGACACGUUGUUUGAUGUCAAGAGCUAUAGAAUCCUCAAUGGUCGCAGUACGUACCUCGCUGAGGAAGCCGUCAUCGAUAGUUGCAACAGUAGCAAAAAUCUUGAAUUUUUCUGGUUUCAACAAUGUUGUACAUUGUUGAUCAAACGCUGCUUCUCCAGCCUUUGGCGCAAGAUACGAUCUCCUCGAUAAUGCGUCAGAUAAUCCUUGUUGUUUUCCAGGGCGGUAGGUGAUAAUAAAGUCAAAUCGUGAUAGAGACAUAUUCCAUCGAGCUUGACGACGAUUCAAAAUUCGAGCUGUCAUGAAGUAUUCCAAAUUCUUGUGGUCCGUAUAAACAGUCACUGGAUGUGCAGCUCCUUCGAGGAAGUGACGCCACUCUUGGAAGGCAUCCACUAUAGCAAGCAGCUCUUUGUCGUGGAUCUCGUAGUUGAUCUCAGCAGCAGAGAACUUCCGUGAAUAGAACGCAACUGGGUGAAGCUUCUUGUCUAUGCCCAUCUGUGAAAGCACAGCUCCCAAAGCAAAAUCUGAAGCAUCGGUCUCUAAAUAGAAAGCCUUUGCAAAGUCAGGGUGUACCAAGAUUGGAGCCGUAGUGAAUGUCGUCUUGAGAUCUUGAAAUGCUUUUGCUGCUUGUGAUCCCCAUUCGAGCUUGUCUUUGCUUGUUAGACGCGUGAGUGGUGCAGCAACUUGAGAAUAAUUCUUGAUGAAGAUCUGAUAGAAGUUAGCAAAUCCAAGAAAACACUGAACAUCUCUAACCGCCUUCGGAACUUCCCAAGAUAUAAUUGCUUCUACCUUUUUUGGAUCCAUCUUCAAGCCCUCUGUAGUCGCAAUGAAGCCCAAAAAUUCCAUCUCAUUCUGGUGAAAUUGACACUUCUCCAACUUGGCGUAGAGUCCUCGUUCGCGUAGUUUUUCAAGAACCAAACAAACGUGCUUCUCAUGUUCUUCUUCAUUCUUGGAAAAUAUCAAAAUAUCAUCCAGAUAGAUGACAACAAAGUCAUCGAGGUACUCCCGAAAGAUGUCGUUCAUCAUAUGCUGAAAGACCGCUGGAGCAUAGGUAAGACCAAAAGGCAUGACAUUGUACUCAAAAUGGCCAUACCUUGUACGAAAGGCUGUCUUCCAUUCAUCUCCUUCUUUGAUUCGCACAAGGUUGUAGGCUCCUCUUAAAUCAAUCUUUGUAAAAAUCCUUGCACGUCCAAGUUGAUCUAAGAGGCCGGAGAUCAAAGGUAAGGGAUAGCGAUUUUUCUUGGUCACCUUGUUGAGUCCUCGGUAGUCCACGCACAUCCGCAGUGAGCCAUCCUUUUUCUUCACGAAUAGGAUUGGUGCUCCAGCUGGCGACUUUGAAUGUCGAAUAAAAUUCUUGGCUAGAUUCUCAUCGAUGUACUUUCGUAAUUCUGCCAACUCCGUCUGCGAUAGGUUGUAUAUUGGACCAAAAGGUGGUUGCGCUCCUUCCUCUAAGUCUAUGGCGCAAUCAUAUGGUCGAUGUUCCGGCAAUAUAUCGGCGUUCUUCUUCUGAAACACGUCUUCAAAAUCCCUAUAUUGCUCUGAUAUAUUCAAUGUUGAGAUAUUCUCGCUGCUAGUUGGAGCUGCAUAAAUGACAAAUGGUACGCCUUCCUUGGACGAUCUUAGGAACGCUCUUGCUCCUAUAAACAUGGAUUUCUUCAUGUAGGUUCUACCAACAGGUUUAUUAUUAUUUUUUUCAGGAAAUGUUAUCCUUCGUAGCCUCCAAUCAAUGGACGGAUUAUGAUCUUGUAACCAAGAAAGACCAAGGAUAACAGGGCUUGAUGGGGUUCUAAUAAUAUUAAAAAUAACGUGACUACUAUGGUCCUUAAACACCACUUCUAUAGGUUCUGAUUCGUGGGUAACGUUGCCUGACAAUAAGGGUCGUCCAUCUAUCACCUCUACGUGAACAGGUUUGGAUUUCUGUACUAAACGGAUCUUGUGGCGUUUAGCAAACUCUUCAUCUAAAAAACAAGUAGAUGCCCCCGAAUCCAAUAAAGCUAAAGUUUUUUGUUUUUGAGGGCCUAAAAAUAAAGGAAUUGUAAAACAACGGGCAGGUUGGACAGAGAAGGAGGAACCUGAUUGUUGUCGUGAUAUUAGAUUGUCAGGCCGCACAGUUCCUACUGUGGCUGGGCGUCGUCGUUUUUCGGAAUCAUCGCACUUCUAGUCUUGACAGGGUGCCAAUUUUGCUUCUUUGGGCAAUUUCCAACCUUGUGACCUUCUUCUCCACAGUACAAACAUAACCCUUCUUCCAUACGCCGUUUCUUCUCUGUUGGAGUAAGAGAUCGGACACGCGUCGUGUCGAUUUGCAUGUCUGUUGCCUCCGAAUGUGAGUUUAAGCUAUUUGCAGACAUAGUCACGUCGUAACGAGUCAUUUGGUGUCUUGGACGUUGGUCUUGGCGACGCUGGAAUAGGCGGUUGUCACACUUUACAGCUUGGCUAAUAGCUUCGUUGAGCGUUUGAGGAUCAAGAAGAGAUAACAGCAAGUCCUUCACAUCAUCCUUCAAGCCCCAAUAAAACUGACUCACCAACGCCUCUUCACCCCAAUUAAUGUCACUUGCCAAUUGUCUGAAAUCCGAGGCAUAGACUGAUGCAGCGCGUGUUCCUUGUCGUAGCGAUUGGAUCUUUGUUAUAGCCCAUCGAACUUUAUCAUGCUCGCCAAAUGCUUCUGCAAACGCCUCCAAGAACGUUUCAAAGUUGCUCAGGAUUGGCGAUCGCUUUUCGAACAAGGAAGUAAACCAAGACAGAGCUUGUGCUGUAAGCAAGGUUCCAACAAGCCCAACACGCGCUUCCUCCGUCGGAUAACGUUCGGGCUGUAAAAUUGUUAUCAACCUGAUUUGGUUGACAAAACCUCAAAACUUGGAACGAGUUCCAUCAAACUUAUCCGGAAGACUAACUCGAGGCUCCUUUCGUUGUAGGACUACUCGAUCUUGUUGAAAUGGAGGUAGAACUGCUUCUUCUGGUGCAGAAGUUUGAGGCUGAUAUGCUUUAGAUGGUGCUAUCCCAGAUGCUCCAUUGUUAUGGAGUCCUACCAUGACUCCUUCGAUCUCUGUUGUCCUAUGUGACAACGAGGCAAGAGCAUUUAUGAUGGCGUCUAGUUUGGAUUCCAAACUUUCAGCCGUUUUAACGUCUUAACCUUCGGCUAACCUUCAGAAAGAAGAAAAAAGAGUUUUGACAAGAGGACAAUAUUGGUUCAGAGGAGAGUACUCCGCAACCUCUAAAACGCCUUAAGACUCAAAGAUGAGGGGAAAUCCACUCUCUCCAAGAAGAAUAAGGCUCCAAUAUUGAAAAAGAAGAGAUAUCAGUUUAGAGGAGGGUAAUCCGCAACUUCUAAAACACUAGCACACCUUCAAGAAGAGGGGUAAUCCACUCUCUAACAAGAAGGAACUAGCUCUGAUACCAGUGAAAAUGCAGUCUCGACAAACUGUCACGGAUACAAAAUACAGACAAGAAAACUAGACAAGAAGUUGAAGAAGAACUGGAUUAAUCAGAUGAGUACAAGAACAACACCAGAAAGGUGAGCUAGAACUCCAAGAGAUGUGUUGUCGAGACUGAAGAACCCUUCAGCCUCGACUCCUAUAUAUACUACUGAAUAGGAAGCUUCUCGAGCUACUUCCGCUAACUAGGACACUUCUCCAACAACUUCUACUAAUAAGGAAACUUCUCAAGCAACUUCCUAGAAUCUAUUAGAAUAUUCUAGAACCUUCUAAGAAUAUUCUAGAACCUUCUAAGAGAAUCUUUAGGGAAUAUUCUAAGAAUCUUUUAGAACCUUCUAAAGGAAUCUUUAGAGAAUCUUUAGAGAAUAUUCUAGAAGAAUAUUCGAAGAAUCUUCCAAUGUAUGUCCAUGACACAAGAGUGAAGAAGCCUUCACCCUUAUCUCUAUAUAUACUAUCUAACUAGGUGCUACGGGGCGACGUUCUAUAGGACCUCCAAUAUGUGUUGACUUUGUAGGACACAUGCCUUGACUUACAAGGCAAGUUUUUCUAUGUGUGGGCCACAUAGUUAGCUUGAUCUUCAAGCUAACAACAUGUGUGGCACAUGGCCAACUUGUUGACCACAUUUCUAAUCCAAAAAGUCAAUUAAAGACACCUAUGAAGUCAAAGCAGUGCCUAAGAAGUUUCUUGGAAGCUUCUAUAUUAAAUAUUAUAGAAUUAACUUACUUUUAUCUACUUUUACUUACUUCUACCUAUUUCUAUAUGUAAUUAUUAGCUUAUAUGAUUAUAGCCGUGACAUUACCCCCCCUUCUAGAGACGAGUUCCACGAAGAGCAGUCAUCAUAUAUUGAGAAAAUCUAUGAUGCGACAAAUUGUAUUCGCCACAUACUCUGAUCUCUGUUCUCUUCGAAGAUGAUUGAUAGGGCCUCUCAACCAUCGGUAGUGUCCCAUACCAGGGCGGGAAGACCACCCAGUUAUUUGAUCAUUGUUGAGGCCUUAGUAACUUCCUUCGAAUAGAAUAUUUGGAACACCAUCAGGAGUUGUUCCUACCUCUAGCAAAAUCACCAAACAUCGGGAGUCCCUUCCCAAAUCGUGAUACCAAAUGUGUUGUAUCUCACAAUCUAUUCGAGGAAGAACAUGUCGUUCUCGAAGAUCUUCAUCUCGAUUGCGUCGUCUUGAAGGUUGUGACAAUUGUAAUAUCUCAUCCGGUAAGUCAGCAAACGAAGGUUCUUGAGUUGAAUCCGCUGGUUGUUGGCUCUCCAUCUAAUUAGCGUCACAAAUGCAAAGAAGUUACAAACAAGGAUAGGAAAUUGAAUGUUAUCUUGCCUCAAUCUUGUCUCUUUUAUAAGAGAGAUUUUCAUCUUGGUUUUGAUGGAUGUCGUUGAUGAAAAACUUUGACUUUAGCUGAUGCAUUUGCUAGAUUCCUGGAUGGCUCCCAUGUGCGUUCACUAAUAUCAUAUCCGCGCCAAUGAACAAGAUAUUCCAGCUUAUUUUGGCGCCGCCUUGAGUCUAAUAUCUCUUCCACCUGAAAUUCUUCAUUAUUAUCUACUUCUAUAGGAGGCGGUGGCAUUUGUCUUCUUCCUUGUAUAUCCACUGUAUUAUAUGGUUCAAGAAGAGACACAUGGAAUACAAGAUGGAUCUUCAUUGACUCCGGUAGAUGUAACCGAUAUGCAACUGGGUUGAUCUGAAAGGAAUCCACGAUCGCAAGAAGUUCUUUAUCGUGGAUCUCAUAAUUGAUCUCGGCUGCUGAGAAUUUUCUUGAAUGAAAAGCUAUCGAAUGAAGUUUGUCAUCUGUUCCCAUUUGUGAUAAAACUGCACCCAAGGCAAAAUCUGAUGCAUCUGUUUCCAUAAAAAAUGCCUUGGAAAAGUCAACACGAUAUAAGACUGGUGCAGAGACAAACGAUGUCUUCAAGGCUUCAAAUGUUGCUUCCGCUUCUUGAUUCCAUUGGAAUUUAUCUUUACUAGUCAAGCGCGUAAGUGGAGCUGCAACUCGUAAAAAAUCUUUGAUGAAGAUCCGAUAGUAAUUGGCAAAUCCCAAGAAACAUUGGACAUCUCUUACUGUCCUUGGAAUCUUCCAAUCCAUGAUUGUUUGGACUUUCUUAGAAUCCAUCAUGAGACCAUCAUUUGAAAUGAUGUAUCUUAAAAAGUCAACUUGAGUAGUGUGAAAUACACACUUUUCCAUCUUGGCAUACAAUCCUGCAUCUCUAAGUUUUUGUAAUACUUGACGAACAUGUAUUUUAUGUUCUUUAACGUUCUUAGAAUAGAUCAGGAUAUUGUCUAGAUAGCAGACGACAAAAUUGUCUAAGAAUUCACGAAAUACAUCAUUCAUGAGAUGUUGAAAAGCAGCUGGUGCAUUUGUGAGUCCAAAGGGCAUGACAUUAUAUUCGAAAUGUCCAUACCUGGUUCGAAACGCAGUCUUCCAUUCAUCUCCUUCUUUGAUCCAUACUAGAUUAUAUGCUCCUCUUAGAUCUAUUUUUAUAUAGAUCUUAGCUUGAUUCAACUGGUCAAGGAGUCCUGAUAUCAAAGGUAAUGGAUACCUGUUCUUGAUUGUGAUCUUGUUGAGUCCUCGAUAAUCAACACACAUUCGUAAAGAUCCAUCUUUUUUCUUUACGAAUAGAAUUGGAGCUCCUGCUGGAGAUUUUGAAUGGCGUAUGAAAUUCUUCGCUAAAUUCUCAUCAAUGUAUGUCUUGAGUUCAGCCAUCUCAUCUUGCGAUAAACUGUAAAUUGGUCCAAAUGGUGGCUGAGUUCCUUCCUUGAGGGCGAUUGAACAAUCAUAUGGGCGAUGCUCAGGAAGAAUAUCUGCAUUCUUUUUUUCAAAAACGUCUUGAUACUCCUGAUAUUGACUUGGAAUGCCCCUUGAAGUCUUUACGUUUUUAGAAAUAGGUGUAGCAUAAAUAGCAAAAGUUGAUCCUUCUUUUGCUGCGUAUAUAAAUGCUUUUGCACCUAUCAGUAUGGGUUUUACUAUACUAGACUUAUAAUUUUUUACUUGGUUGGUAGAACUAUUAAUAACGCUCUGGAAAAAGUCAAGUUUACGUAAAUUCCAAUCUAUUCGAGGAUUAUAUUUUUCUAGCCAGGAUAAACCUAAAAUAACUGGAUUGGACGGGGAUUUAAUUAUGUUAAAAGCUAUGUAGCUAUCAUGACCGUCUAUUGUUACUUUUAUAGGAUGAGUUUCAUGAGUGACAUCUCCAGAACACAAGGGAUGACCAUCUAUGACUUCUACAUGUACUGGUUUAGGUUUCUGUACAAAGGGUAUUUUACGACUUUUAACAAAUUGUUCAUCUAAAAAACAUGUUGAGGCUCCCGAAUGUAACAGAGCAGAGGCUUUAUAAUUCUUAGGUCCUAAAUAUAAGUCUAUUAUAAAACAAGGAGAGGGUUCUGAGCAGAGGAUAGGACCUUCAUUAGGAAUUGUACAAGGUUCCAGCUGCACGGUCCCUAUUGUAGCUGGACGAAUCCGUUUUCCGACAUGUUGUCUUCUUUGACCAUCGUACCCCUCAUUUUAUAGUUGCGUCGUUUCUUUGGACAAUGUUGAGCAGUGUGCUUAGGUUCUCCGCAAUAUAAACAUAAUCCUUCUUGACGACGAUGAAUCUUUUCUUGCUCAGUUAGGGGUUUAAAACGUACUGCGUCAAUUUGCAUGUCUUCUACUUCCAAAUGUACGUUUGGCAAAGAUGUUGAUGUUGCCAUUGAGUAAUAACGUUGAAGUUCCCGUGAAUGAUUCUCGGAUCGAAAUUCAAAAAGUCGAUUAUCACAUUUUACCGCAAAAUCGAUUGCUUGACUCAAAGUUUGAGGAUCAGGUAAGUUGAGCAUCAAUUUCUUUACUUCGUAUUGCAAUCCAUAAAGAAAUUGACUGAUGAGUGCAGCAUCAUCCCACUUGAUGUCAAUUACAAGUUGUCGAAAUUGUGAAGCAUACACUGUUACUGAGCAAUUUCCUUGUCGUAGAAUUCGGAUCUUAUUUGUUGCAACACGAGUUGCAUCGUGUUCACCAUACAUAGAUCGAAACUCCCCCAAAAAAGCUUCCAAAUUGUCCAAUAUUAGAUUUCGUUGUUCAAGAAAAGACGAAAACCACGAUAAUGAAGAAUCAGAAAGUAGAGUACCAAUAAACCUGACUUGUGAUCCUGGAGUUGGAUAGCUUUGCGGUUGAAGUUCAAUUGCCAAUUGUACUUGAUUGAUGAACCCUCGAAACUUUGAUCUCGUACCAUCAAAUUUCUCGGGUAAGGCAAUUCUUGGUUCUCUAGUGCUUACAGGAUGUUGUACAAUUGGAGAAGGAACGUGAUUUGUUGUAGAUGUUGAAGCAGCUCCGAUCAUCUCUAUAUCCCCACUUUCUGCCAUUCUUAUUCUUUCCUGUGUUGGUAAAUUGAAUUGAUACAUCGCAAGCAUUAACUCCCUCAUUUGCUCUUGCAUCUGUGCCAUUGCACUCUUCAUUUCAACAAGCUCUGCCAUAAUGACACUGAGAAGAAAAAUUUGUUUGAUACUGCUCAAGACAAAAGAAAAGAAAGACUUGAUAACAAAGAAGAUACUAAGAACAAUAUCAGUUUAGAAGUGGGUAAUCUGCAAACUUCUAAUACGCUUAUGCCUUGUCAAGAGAAAGGGAUAAUCCACUCUUACUUAAGCAAAACAAAGCUCUGAUAUUGUAAGUACACUCUUGUCAAUCUGUCAAGGACAAAGACUCGAUGAGGGAAAAUAUACACAAAAAGGCUAUCUUUGUAGGACACAUGCCUUGACUUACAAAGCAAGUUUUUCUACGUGUGGGCCACAUAGUUAGCUUGAUCUUCAAGUUAACAACAUGUGUGGCACAUGGCCAACUUGUUGACCACAUUUCUAAUCCAAAAAGUCAAUUAAAGACACCUAUGAAGUCAAAGCAGUGUCUAAGAAGUUUCUAGGAAGCUUCUAUAUUAAAUAUUAGAGAAUUAACUUACUUUUAUCUACUUUUACUUACUUCUACCUAUUUCUAUAUGUAAUUAUUAGCUUACAUGAUUAUGGCCGUGACACAAACUCAUAUCUUUACAACAAAGAUUAUGCUUAAUUAUCAUAUAUGCUACUAAAUUUUAAAUCCUUACUUGCAACAUGGAUUAGAACAACAAAGCCCUUAUCAACCAAUUUUGAUAUGAAUUAAAAGAUAAUGCCAAAGAUUUAUUGUUGAUAAUGCCAAAGAUUUAUUGUUGAUAAUGCCAAAGAUUUAUUGUUGGUAAUGCCAAAAGCAAGUAUAUUAUAGUAAUGUAUUAUUCAAGCUAUUAUAUGCAACAAUCGACUCUUUAAAAGACAAUAAGAAGUAAGAUUUGGUUAGAGAUGUAUAAGUCAAGUCAUAGUAAUAAUUUCUAAGUUUACAAAAGUUUAUUCAUUAAGAUUGAAACCUAUGCAAAUUGACACAAUAUAUUCCAAAUUUCUUAUUCAGCAAAAAAAAGACUUAGUAUCAUCAAGAAGAUUUGUACUUGCAUUGUAGAAAAUCUAAAUGUAUUGCUCAAUAUUGUCAAAAAAAAAUCAUAAUCACAAAACGAUGAGCAUAGUUGUCAAAGCGGAUGAUGUCUCAAAAAAUAAAUUCCUCCAACUACAAUAGGGACCAUAUAAUUAGAGUCUUGUACAACAUCUAAUAAAAAAUUUAUUCUCUCUUGUAAUCCCUUUCCUUACUUUACAAAAGAAGUUUUUUUAAGACCAAAAAAACCACAAAGUCUUUUCCUUGUUAGAUUCAAGAGCUUCAACUUGUUUUAUAGAUAAAGACUUUGUCAAAAAAUAAGAAAUGUCUAUAGUUAAAAAAAUCAAAUCUAUGCAUGUAGAAGUAAUAGAUAAUUAUUUUUUAUCUUCUAGAGAUGUUAUUCAUAAAAUUAUUCCUUUAAAUAUAAAAACUAAUAGUUAUAAUAGCUUAGUAAUAUUUAAUGUGAUUAAAUCUCUUUUUAAUCUAAUCAUUUAAAGAUUAUUGUGACUGAAAAAGUAUAGUCCUCAAAUAGAUUAGAUUUCUUGUAACUUUGAUUUUUUUUUGUAGUUUAAUUCAAGAUUAUGUUAGUCUAAUAAAAAAACAAGAAUAAAUAAUAUGAAGGUAGUAAAAAAUUUAGUCUUAAUAUUACCAUUUUGUAGAUGAAAUUUCUAUUUAUUUUGUAGAGACAUAAAUGAGCCUAAUCAAAAGAGAGAAAAAAAUUAAUUAACAAAAAUAUGUUCAAGAAAAGAUUAAGAAUAGGUUUUAGCAAAAAUUAUCUUAAAAUGUGAAAAUUUGAUCCUUAAAAAGGACCAAUCAUGAAGAAAGGUUAAAAUCAAACCUUAAGACAUGAAACCAUGUAUCAAUGGCAACUCCAAGGUUCUUUGAUGUAUCAAAGAAUGAGAUUUGAAAGCAAACUUAUGAAAAGAUUUUUGAUGAUUUAUUUUAUGUAAUUUGAAGAUACAUUGAGGUUUUGAAAGAUAUUCAAAGUGAGAGGUGUAUAUAGUGGAUUUGGAUUUUAAGAAAUAAAAAGAAGUUCACAAAUUUGAUAACUUUAUGAAUGUUGUAAUAUAUUUAUAAAUAAAAAUUUAUUUAUUUGAUAUUAUAUUUGUUAAAAACGUAUGUAAGAAAUUUAAUGUCAAUCGAGUAGUUAGAUUCAAGAUUGUAAGAGUUUUGUAGAUUAUGGUCUUGAAUAAUUAAAAUAUAGGAUUAGUGAGGGUUUUUGCAAUCUUACAAUAUUUUCUAAUUUUCUUGAAGUAAAAAUUAGUAAAAGCAAUUCAAAUUUAAAUAUCUACAUAUUAGCCAAUUUUUGGAGCAAUUGAAUAAUUCAAUAAGAAAAAAAAAUUGUUGAAAGAUCAAUAUUUAAGUUAGAAAAGAAAGACAUCCAACAUCUAAAACAAUUUGAAAGAUUUUCUUUCAAUUGAUGAUUUUGAUUAUUUUCAAAUUUUGUUUAAUUAUUACUUGUUUGAGAAUAAAUUCCUAAUGAUUGAUAUUUUUUGGAAGUUUCUUAAUGAUUUUAUCAUUUAUUAUUUAUUAUCUAAAUGAUAUUUUAAUUUACUGUAAGAUCUAAUUUACUUUUCAUGAUGAAAUAUCAAAGUGGUCUUUCUGCUUUUGCAUGAAAUACUAUUAAUGGCUGAUAUGACAUAUCAACCAUCUUCAAAGGGAACAAAAUUCAGAGUAUGUGGCAAAUACAAUUCACAUCAUUUUGGACUUCCUCAACAUAUGAUUGCCAUUUUUGAUGCAACUCGUUCCUAGAAGGAUGUUAAUGUCACUAACAUAUAUAUUUAUUUAAAUAAAAAAUAUUAGAUAGAAGAUAAAUGUAAGUAGAUUUAAUAUUAUUUUAUAGCAAAGCUUCUUAGAAGCUUUAUAGAUGCAUAUUUGUUUUUAUAUAUGUUUGUAGUUGAUUGGUAGGUUAGAAACUUAGCCAAUAGGUUAGUCACAUGUUGUAUGUAUUGAUAGCUUGUUGUACAAGCUAAUGAUAUAGUACACAUUUAAAAAACUUGUCUUAUAAGUUAAGACAUAAAAAUUGAAAACUUGUCAAAGGUCCUAUAGAACAUUGUUAUGUAGCUUCUAAUUAGAUAAUAUAUAUGGAGGUAAGAGUCGAGCCUUCUUCACUCUUAUCAAUACCUUUCUAGUCUUUAGUCUUUUUUCAAGUCUUUCUAGUCUUCUUAUCUUUGAUAGUAGCCAUUCUAGUCUAGUAUUAUAUAAUCUUUAAGUGAUUAUUUAGUUUUUAUUAUUAUUAUUAUUAUUAUUAUUAUUAACACAAGAGUGUAUUGAUCAAUACACUCUUAUAUAAAUCAAAAAAGACUAGAUAAUCACUCAAAGAUCAAGUCUUUGAUAGUAGUAUGGAAUCAAAGAGGGAAGAAAGUUAAAGCAAGCAACUCAAUUUUUGAUAUUUCAUCAACUAGCUUUUGAUAAUUUGAUUUCAAAAUCAUCCACCUUGUGAUGUGGUUGAUUCGAUGAAGUAUCAAGUAAUAUUUCAAAAUAUCAUAAAAUACUUUGAUAUUUGAUUAUAAGUGAAAUACCAUCCAAAAAGACCAUAUUUGAACCCUCUGAUAAAAAGCAUUGUAUACAAAAACAUUUAUUAUUGAAGUUAUUGACUUUGUAGUAAACAACUCACAUUCUUUAUAUUGCAUAAGUUAUUAAAUUUCUAAUUGAAGACCUUUGAAUGACUUUUUUUAUAUAUUGUUGCUUCCAUUUAUAUCAAAAUACUACAUAAGUUAGAUUAAAGUCUCAUUGAUUCAAGUGAUACUUAAGCAUAUUUAAGUACUUUAAUGACACAAUCAUUAAGAAAUAUACCCGACUACAAUGUUCUCAUUUAUAGAAAACAAUUAUAGCACUUUGACAGAAAACUAAUAUUCUAAAUUUAAAAUAAAUAACAGAAGUAACAUUCUUUUUUGUCCUUGUUAAUAUUAUUUUGUACUCUGCCUACUACAUUUACGUUUACACACAAACUAAUAUUUGAUGGUAUUUGGUAUUCAGCUUUAUUCACGUUGUAUAAUUCUUUUAUGUUUUCAUGUUUUGCUAAUAGAAUGUAUUCCAUGUGAUAUGCAAUAAACAAGUUAUUUUAUUUUACAUCCAAAUAUAGAAAUUGGUUGUCUUUUAAUGCCAUAUUUGGACUUGGUUUUGGUGGCUCACCACCAAAAUCUGGGCAGUGACUCUACAGCAACGUCAAAGGCAUUUUUAUUGGGAUUUUGCUUGGGUGUCAAACGGCGCCACCAAGGGGCAGUGGAUGACCUUUGUGUCGUCCCAUUUCAACUCUCGAUGGGAGGAUCCAUUCACCCAUUACAACGAAAUUCCAUUGGGUUGAUAACAUAAUUCAAGCCCAAAAUAUAGGUUUCUUAAGAUGUAUCACAUUUUAGGUUUCGGGUGUUUCAAUUUCAGUGAUGAAUAACAAUGAGAAUUUAGCAAUCAAAUUAGAAUAUGAAUCGUCUCAAAAGAUAUAGCAUUUGAGUCUUUGAUGUAGAAGUUGACCACAUCUCAUUCACUACUUACUGCACUUGUAGAAACGUCUUUUUUUUUUUGUUUUGAGGGGUUUGUUUCGAUUUUUUCUUUUACUAUUUUUGGACUACAAGCUUUUAACUGUUCUUCAAAGGUUAGUAGCUAAGAAUCAUUUAUCAUCACCUUUCGUACAGAUACACAAACCCUCAGAUCAAACUUUUAAGUCAAAGUUGCAAUUGAUCUAAUGAAUAUAACAAAGGCAAUUCUAUCCAUAAGAAGUUUGAAUAAUACGUAUUAUUCACUGAGAUUUUUCUUCACAAAUGAUGACGUAACAACCCUAUCCCAACCAAAUUACCUCUCUAAUGAGCAGUACAUUCUUCACCAAGAGGCGGAAAAUGAUGUGAUGAUUUCAAUCUCUAGGGGCCAUUGUUAACUAGUAUUUUCCGAUCUAUAGUGGCUGUGCACGUUUUUCUGUCGGUAUAACACUGCCAGACUACUCAUUCAAAGAGGAAAUUAGUAACCCAAACAUUCAUACGUCGCCAUACAAGGUGGGCCCACGAAAAAUCAAUAGAAAAUAUAACAAUUAGACUCUACAGUCAGCAACACGCAAUUGUUUACUUCGAUGUUCCCAUCAGUCAUUUGCAGUACAGAAAUCGAACCUUCAAAGCAAGAUUCCUUUGUAGAAAACUAUCCCAUGAUUACUCCACAUAAUCCCAAGUUUGAAAUAUUCCAAGCGGCAGCACAGUAGCAAAGUACCCCACUUUGUGCAAGGAACCGUGCAAUAUGAGCACAUGUAUACACAACACGCCUGUCUAUUCAAAUACAGUAACCAGCAAACAAGUAGGUGCAUUGGAAUUGAGAAUCAAGGCAAUGGGGUUGCAAGGCGCGGUUCUACAAUUCAUGAGUCAAAGUCACCACAAAAAUAGGUCACGUGCCAGGAAGUAGAUUCGCUGCCAGGCUGAAGGAACAAGACUUCGUAAGUAGUAAACUAGACCCACUCAGUUGGGCUAACGCUUCACGGUUAAUCGGAGGUUGCGGCACCCUGAUUCAACUCUGCAAAGCGCAUGCUGACUCGCAUAGAAUGCUUCAAGUACUUCUCGGCACACCGCUUGACACAGGUCUCCUC
rnacentral:lncRNA from 1 species